AGAGUCUCCAAUGUCAUAAAAUUAAGACUGUGAGAAAUUAAAUCACAAAUGCGUAGUUUACCAGAGCACCCAAAUUAAUGUCCAGCCUUACAGUUUUGCCUGUGCAGGUGGACACUGGCCCCUCUAUGUCCCCUCGGUGAGGCCAGGAGGGCUUUGCGGGACUCCGGCUGUCCGUUGGCACACAGCCUGCUACUGAACUGCGGCUUCGAUUUGUUUCUGGGUAGGAAGCUACUGGGUAGCACCUGGAGACGGCUUCAUCCCUGUGGGGUUGCGUAUAUCUCUCCUUUCCAAUCUGCCUUGCUGCAUCUCGAGAAGGGUGAGAAGCCCCCACGCUGUGGCACGAGACUCAGAGACCCUGGGCUGGGCCAGCUCAGCCUCCACCCCGCCUGGUGUCCCUCGUGUCCCAUCCCAAACAUGGGCCCACAGGGGGCACCUGCGACAGCCUGCAAUAACAGCGCGGGAGGCUUGACAGCUAUUGUGGAAAAGAAAUGUUGCUGGCACUGCCACUCCGUGUGCUAUCAGUUUGACUUCAUGCAUCCAAGGAUUAUGAUUUUUGAAACCACAGAUGUCUGCGGCUUGGCUAAUAACAGACAGGCUUGUCGGCUACCCUGUGUCGAGGAUAACUGCAUCUCCCUGGGAAGCAGCGACUGAAGAGCCAGAGUUGCAUCCUCACACUGUGAGAUUUCUAAUUAACUGCAGCACCCAAAGCAGGCCAGCCUGAAAUCAAUAUAAUAAGCCGCUAUCAAUGGGAAAAAUCCUCAAACCCGCUAGUAAUUUAGAAACAGAAACAAUGUGGGAGUAUUGGAAAACUGUAUGUUAUCAUCUUUCAGAGGCUAUUGAAUAGUUUUGCAGGAUUUUGAAUGGAAUAAUGCAGUUUUAUAGAACUCAACUAUUGGGCUUCUCCCAUCACACGGUUAUACUGAAUCACGUAAGGAAUUGUGCUGUGCUAUAGAUAAAAGUGCCUGAUGUGCAUAACAUAUUGUAAUGUGAAGAAUCUGAUACAAUAUUGCAAUACCAUGUUAGAUUUUUGUCAGCUUUUCAUUAGCGUUCAGUGAACUGCCCAAGGUCUCACACCAAGGCCCAGUGCUCUGCUGUGCUACUGCGGCUGUGUUCCUGCCUGCUGCCCUGCGCUAAUGCCCAGGUGUGCCUCGUUCAGUAACGAGCCUCCACCUCCCUCAUGCCCUCAUACCACAGAGAAGGCUAGGUGGGCUUCUCAUCUCCUCUUUGGCAAUCCCAUGCUCCUGUCUGCCGUGAGGGCCUGGUAAAGCAAAAGACUGUCAGGAAUCCAAGCUGCCACCUGCAAGUCUGACCAUUUGGUUAAAGGGCCCCAAAUAUUCAGAUGCUGAGGUGGAGUGAAAAAAGUCACAAGUCGUAGAGCUGCUAAUGCUCUGGAUCAUUGUCUGUUGAACCCUGGUUCACGGCUGAGAAGGCAACACCUGCACUUCUGGUUAUGUGUUGUUCUUAUCCUCAGACCUGCGUAGCAGUUGCCAAACUGGAGCUCUCAGGUAAUGUUAGUUGUAAAAAAUAUAGGUUCUUCCUUCAAGGGAAGUGAAAGUGUUUGAUACAUUUAAAUGGAGAAUGAUUGGCGAAAGUAGCCAUGGACAAGGCUCAGUCCUCUCUUCUGUUAUAUUAUUUGUUCAAUUAUUUGAGAGUGCAGUUAGAUACUUCCAGUGAGCACAAGUGCAGCCUCUUGGGUACCUUCUGUGCUAGGCUUGAAUGCCACUGGCUCUCUUUUGCUGCCUGGCUACAAUAAACUCUAGAUAAAUGUGUUUAACA
rnacentral:lncRNA from 1 species